AACCCUCUGUUCCCUUUCCCAUUCAAUCUUGAUGCUGGUCUUACAGUCAUGAAGUAGAGUAGCAGUGUGCUAAAGCUGGCCUCGGCAAUGUAGUCUACCAAAGCAUCGGGCCAGAUUCAAACAUGC
rnacentral:snoRNA from 1 species